rnacentral:rRNA from 1 species
AGCCAUGCAUGUGUAAGUAUAAAUAAUUCUACUUUGAAACUGCGAAUGGCUCAUUAUAUCAGUUAUAGUUUAUUAGAAAUAAUUUACUACUUGGAUAACCGUAGUAAUUCUAGGGCUAAUACAUGAGUAAAUCCUCGACUUUGAAGAGGUGUGUUUAUUAGUAUGAAAACCAUAUGCUUCGGCAUGAUAGUGAGUAAUAAUAACCUUUCAUAUCGUAUGUUGUAAUAACGAUAGUUCUUUCAAGUUUCUGCCCUAUCAGCUUUCGAUGGUAGUGCAUUGGACUACCAUGGCAGUAACGGGUAACGAAGAAUUUGGGUUCGAUUUCGGAGAGGGAGCCUGAGAGAUGGCUACCACAUCCAAGGAAGGCAGCAGGCGCGUAAAUUACCCAAUCCUGACAUAGGGAGGUAGUGACAAUAAAUCACAAUGCGGGACUUUUAGUUUUGCAAUUGGAUUGAGAACAAUGUAAAAGAGUUAUCGAUAAACAAUUGGAGGGCAAGUCUGGUGCCAGCAGCCGCGGUAA